GCAAGUCCAACAGUGUCUUAGCAAAUGCCUUAUAAAUAUUAUAAAAUAUAGUGUCCUAGUGAUUUAGGACAUCAUCUCAAUGUAUCAACUCCAACAACAUGCCCUAUUAUUGUGCCUUAUUAUUAAAAUAAUAAUAUAUAUUGAAAUUGUUAUUGGAAAGAAAUGAAAAGGAGGGAGGAGAGAGAUGUAGUGGAAUGGUAAAAAACUAUUUUUUUAUUGAUAGGGCAUACAAAAUGGUGCCUCAAAAAUAAGGCACUUGUUACAUAUCCUAGUGUUUUAGGGCAACACUAGGACAUUGUUGGAGCAUUGAUUUGCUUCACAUGCCUUAAAUUUUGAUUUAGGACAUUAAUAUAGGGCACUCUUGGACUUGCUCUUAGGCCGCAGGAUACAAGUGGCAAAGUGAUUAAUUCUAUGUACGUCAAACUCCUAUACAUGCUAUCACAAACUCAGAACAUACAUAUCCGCACUCUCUCUCUCCCUCUCCCUCACCCUCUCCCCCUCUCUCUCUCCCUCUCUCUCUCUCCCCCUCUCCCUCACUCACUCAAAAAAAGAAACCGAAGAAAAUAAGUGCUUACUAACCGUUAAUGACAAGUAAAAGUUUCAAAAUCUCCAGACGGUUGACGGAAACUUGCGGAUCCAUUUUUCCAGUCUCCUAGGAACCCGUGCUCUGGUGUAUCCUGCAUUAAUCAGUGAAGCACACAAGGACGCUCGAUAUCAAAAAUCCCUCACUUCCGCUGUGUUCAACCCUAGGUCAAUCACUGUGUAGAACUAAUUCAACGACGGACUAGUGGUUUGCAGGACGCAUCAAAUUUUGGCGAAAAUGAGUUCGGGACUCUUUGUUGUAGCACGAUGGUAUCAGUUUUUAGCUCACUAUGCGAAGUUAACACGCUGAAUGUUCUGUCUUCUGUCUCAGAUUAUAAACCGGACUCUUUUCGUUGUACCUUCUCCAUAUCAGACUACUAUGCGAUGUUAACAUACAUUUUUAAGGAUGACUUUGUAGUUGAGGAAGGCUCGAUGAAUAUGAAGAGGUGUUGGUGUAGAUGUCGAGCAAGAGGAAAAGUUGCAUCAGGAUCAGUCCUAGAAGAAUGAUGCUAUGGAUUCAAUAAACAGUUGUUUUUGCCUAUAUUGCCUACGACAUUGUAGCCUGAAAGAUUUUUUAAAUGCUUCAUUAUCAUCUCCAAUGGUUUUUCCCCCUAUUUCCUGUUAUCCGGGACAAUCUGUUUGUACUUAAAUACCUAGAAAUUGGAGAUUGCACCAAUUGAAAUAUGAACUACUUUUACAAGUGUAAUUGACACGUACUUGGAAUAUGGAUGUGAAGUUGAUUUUUUUGUAGGA